GACGAACGCUGGCGGCGUGCUUAACACAUGCCAGUCGAACGGAAAGGCCCUGCUUUUGUGGGGUGCUCGAGUGGCGAACGGGUGAGUAACACGUGAGUAACCUGCCCUUGACUUUGGGAUAACUUCAGGAAACUGGGGCUAAUACCGGAUAGGAGCUCCUGCUGCAUGGUGGGGGUUGGAAAGUUUCGGCGGUUGGGGAUGGACUCGCGGCUUAUCAGCUUGUUGGUGGGGUAGUGGCUUACCAAGGCUUUGACGGGUAGCCGGCCUGAGAGGGUGACCGGCCACAUGGGGACUGAGAUACGGCCCAGACUCCUACGGGAGGCAGCAGUGGGGAAUAUUGCACAAUGGGCGGAAGCCUGAUGCAGCAACGCCGCGUGCGGGAUGACGGCCUUCGGGUUGUAAACCGCUUUCGCCUGUGACGAAGCGUGAGGGACGGUAAUGGGUAAAGAAGCACCGGCUAACUACGU
rnacentral:rRNA from 1 species